CCCAGAUUCAAAUUGGACUAAAGAGGUUGUAAAAAGCAACCCAAAAGCGGAUUUAGCCUCAUCCAUUCCUGACUAGAGCACUAUAGAAAUUCUUACUUGAAGAAAAUAUAGUCUUUCAAGAACAAUUGUGAGUCUCUGACCAUAAUCCACUUUGAAUAAUCAAAAUUAUCGGAGCUAUUUUACGACAAUGGAUGAGAUUACUUUACAAUUGGCAUUAUACAUUUACAAUGAGGAAAGAAAUACAAGGUAAAGGAAUCCCACAUUGGUUGAAGGAACACAGGAAAAUUCCGGAAUGGAGCAUGUUAUUUUGCUCAUUAGUUUGCAUGCUUCUGCAGCCAGACAAAAAAUCGUAGGACUGUAGGAAAAGAGAUGCAUAUAAUACAAAUAAAAGAAUUAAGGGAACCCAUAUGUGUAAAGUAAGCAAAGCACAGAAGGUUUUCUUGAAUUGGAGGUGGAGUUUAGGCACGCACCUCAUAAUCCUAAACAGUAAUUAGAAAAUAGUUGUUCAUGAUAGGUGAUGGUUUUGUUGUUCUAUUUUGGUUGCAAUAGCUGUCUUCAUGGAUGACUUAUUAUCAUCAUCAAUGAGACAAGUCAAAUUCCACCAUUGACCAAAGAUUAUGAGUCAUAUCAUGGAAAAACAUGUUGAUUCAAAGGGUUGUAAAGAAUAAGAUUUAAUGAU
rnacentral:lncRNA from 1 species